rnacentral:sRNA from 1 species
ACACUGAAAGGAGGUGGUUCGGCAGAUGUAUGAGAACCGGACGCGUGAGGUGGCUGCGGGCUAGCGGCCCGUCACCACAUCCAGUGCGGUGCCGGACCGGCACGUGUGAGACGCGUGCAGCCGGCCAAUCCGACGCAGUCACCCGACCCGCGAGUCGCCGGUACCGUCCGGCCGGCCCUCCCCUGGGAGGACCCGACUCGCGGGUCGUCUGCG